rnacentral:lncRNA from 1 species
CUGAAAUUGCACCACUGCACUCCAUCCUGGGUGACAGAACAAGACCCUGUCUCAAAGAAAAAAAAAAAAGAAAACAAAACCAAAAACAACUCCCCCUCCCCCACAACAAAACCUAAAAACCAAACUGAGAUACCAUUUUCCCCUGUCAGAUUGGCAAAACUCAAAAAAACUGAAGCUGUGGGGAAACAGGCAGUCCACCUACAUAGCUGGUGAGACUGUAAAUUGGUACAACCUUGGUGAAGGGCAAUUUAGCAAUUUGUAUCCAGAUUAGAAAUGAAUGUGCUCUUCAACCCAGCUGUUCUACUUCCAGGAGUUGAUCCUACAGAAAUGCUGGCCAAUAUGCAAAAUAAUAGAUUGCAGCAUUGUUGGUGGUAGCAAAGAUGGAGACAACUUAAGUGUUCA